CACUUCUAAGGAAGGCAGCAGGCGCGCAAAUUACCCAAUCCUGACUCGGGGAGGUAGUGACAAGAAAUAACAAUAAACCGGCUUAUGCCGGUUUAAUUGGAAUGAGUACAAUUUAAACAUCUUAACGAGGAACAAUUGGAGGGCAAGUCUGGUGCCAGCAGCCGCGGUAAUUCCAGCUCCAAUAGCGUAUACUAAAGUUGUUGCAGUUAAAAAGCUCGUAGUUGGAUUUCUGUGGGGACGGAGCGGCCGGCCGCAACACGCGGUUCGAGCUAGCGCUUUCCCUACAUCCUGCCGCGAACCGUGCUACCAUUAGUUUGGUGGCGCCGGGGAUCGGCUCGAUUACUUUGAGAAAAAUAGAGUGUUCAAAGCAGGCCACACGCCUUGAAUAAGUUAGCAUGGAAUAAUAACUAAGGACUUCGGUUCUAUUUUGUUGGUGUUCGGGACUGAAGUAAUGAUUGAUAGGGACAGUUGGGGCGGUCUGUAUUCCAAAGCGAGAGGUGAAAUUCUUAGACCUUCGGAAGACAAACAGCUGCGAAAGCGUUCCGCAAGGAUGUUCCCUUUGAUCAAGAACGAAAGUUGGGGGAUCGAAGACGAUCAGAUACCGUCGUAGUCUCAACUAUAAGCUAUACCAGCUAGGGAUCGGCCAACGUUAUUCUAUACCGACUUGGUCGGCACCUUAUGAGAAAUCAAAGCAUCUGGGUUCCGGGGGGAGUAUGGUCGCAAGGCUGAAACUUAAAGGAAUUGACGGAAGGGCACCACCAGCCGUGGAGCCUGUGGCUUAAUUUGACUCAACACGGGAAAACUUACCAGGUCCAGACAUAGUAAGGAUUGACAGAUUGAUAGCUCUUUCUUGAUUCUGUGGGUGGUGGUGCAUGGCCGUUCUUAGUUGGUGGAGUGAUUUGUCUGGUUAAUUCCGUUAACGAACGAGACCCCAGCCUGCUAAAUAGCGCGUGUGAGCUUUGCUCGCAGCGAGCUUCUUAGAGGGACUAUGAUGCGCGAUAGCACAUGGAAGUUUGGGGCAAUAACAGGUCUGUGAUGCCCUUAGAUGUUCUGGGCCGCACACGGGCUACACUGGCGCCUGCAACGAGCAUAUCAGCUGGCCCGAGAGGGUCUUGGCUAAUCUUUUGAACCGGCGCCGUGCUUGGGAUUGACCUUUGCAAUUGUUGGUCAUGCAACGAGGAAUGCCUUGUAAACGCGAGUCAUCAGCUCGCAUUGAAUACGUCCCUGCCCUUUGUACACACCGCCCGUCGCUCCUACCGAUGAAUGUUCCGAUGAAAUUUUCGGAGAGUGCCUGUGAACUUGGCUCUGCCUUGCGAACGGGAAGCUCAAAGUCACUUAAAUCUGAACAUUUCGAGG
rnacentral:rRNA from 1 species